CUUUUGUACUUUGGUGUAAUUUAUAGUGCUGAUUGUUAUGGAGGUUCCAUGCCAGCAGGGCUUACAGUGUCUAAUUACCAACAAGCUGCCAAUACUUUUUGUGGUGCUGAUAUAGCCAACAAUGGGAAAACAUAUAUUUUUGGGUUUGAUUCAUCUGGAAGGAGAAGAAGUGUCACUCUAACUUUCACAGGCAAUUCCAAGGCAAAAUAUUGUACGACUGGAUGUAAUAAUAUCAUUAGCCAAUGCAUGCAAGCCACAUGUGGGCGAAACGCCUGUCCACAAAAGGCAGGACGAUGGGAUUGGUCUUUUAAUGGUGAAGAGGCUCACUUCACUAUUGAUGGGAGUGUUGCUUGAUAAGUGGAAAUUAAAGAAUUCAAAUAAAGUUUUCUUGGUCCUUUUCUCCAAA